AAACUGAAGAGUUUGAUCAUGGCUCAGAUUGAACGCUGGCGGCAGGCUUAACACAUGCAAGUCGAGCGGUAACAGGGGGUGCUUGCAUCCCGCUGACGAGCGGCGGACGGGUGAGUAAUGCUUAGGAAUCUGCCCAGUAGUGGGGGACAACAGUCGGAAACGGCUGCUAAUACCGCAUACGCCCUACGGGGGAAAGCAGGGGAUCUUCGGACCUUGCGCUAUUGGAUGA
rnacentral:rRNA from 1 species